rnacentral:rRNA from 1 species
UACAGAGGGUGCGAGCGUUGUCCGGAUCACUGGGCGUAAAGGGCGCGUAGGCGGCUCAGUAAGCGUGCGGUGAAAGCCCGGGGCUCAACCCCGGGUCGGCCGUGCGAACUGCAGAGCUGGAGCACUGUAGAGGCAGGUGGAAUUCCGGGUGUAGCGGUGGAAUGCGUAGAGAUCCGGAAGAACACCGGUGGCGAAGGCGGCCUGCUGGGCAGUGGCUGACGCUGAGGAGCGAAAGCGUGGGGAGCGAACAGG